AUGAGGACAUCUAGGGUCCCACAGGGCCGACAGCUCAGCUCCCUCUGGGGCUGGGAGACAACUGUGGCUCCCAGAGGAGGUCACCAGAGAGAGAGGUUCCUCGCCUCUUCUCCAACUGGGCCAGGAGCCUGUUGGACACCCUUGGUAGGAGCAUCUUUAGGAAAAAGCAGGUCAGGAAAAGCUGGAGAGAGGCUGCUGGCAGCGGUACCCACACUGUCACAGCUGGGGCUGAGAGCGAGGUGGCACCAGCGCGCAGGCUGCGGCUCACCGACUCCUACUCAGGGCUCACGGAGCGCUCCCGGGAAACCAAAGCGGAGGGAGACGAGAGCAGACCUCUCCAAGGCUAAGGAGGGCAGGCAGCGCGCAGCGGUCCCACGACUGAGUAACUCAAUCCCUACACCAAAGACGGCGUCCGGGCUGCCAGGGGGAUGGAGGAGAAGACUUCCGAGACUCCAUCGAGCCCGAGUUCCUGCGGCUGGGGCUAGGUGACUGCCGAGCCCCCGCCGCGGCGCGAGACUCACCUUUCCGGGGAAGCCGAUCGGGCGCAGCCAGGCGGCGGGACAGGCGGACGGUCGCCGGAAGCUGCUCCACUCCGUGCCCCUGGCCGAGGCGCGCCCCAGAGUCCUGGAUCCAGGCUGUCUCCCCUCCCAGCCUCUUACUUUCCGCCGCACUUUCUUUUUCCCCCUUCGGGGCUCCUCCCCCGGCGCCGCGCGAUUGGCCGCGAGCUCACGGAUCAGGCUCCACCCGCCGACCGGGCUCGCGAUCCCCGGGUGCCCGGGGCUUCCCGAGGCGGCGGCCUCUGGGCGGCGCGGUGGC
rnacentral:lncRNA from 1 species